GAACUCGCUGUGAAGAUGCAGUGUACCCGCGGCAAGACGGAAAGACCCCGUGAACCUUUACUAUAGCUUGACACUGAACAUUGAGCCUUGAUGUGUAGGAUAGGUGGGAGGCUUUGAAGUGUGGACGCCAGUCUGCAUGGAGCCGACCUUGAAAUACCACCCUUUAAUGUUUGAUGUUCUAACGUUGACCCGUGAUCCGGGUUGCGGACAGUGUCUGGUGGGUAGUUUGACUGGGGCGGUCUCCUCCUAAAGAGUAACGGAGGAGCACGAAGGUUGGCUAAUCCUGGUCGGACAUCAGGAGGUUAGUGCAAUGGCAUAAGCCAGCUUGACUGCGAGCGUGACGGCGCGAGCAGGUGCGAAAGCAGGUCAUAGUGAUCCGGUGGUUCUGAAUGGAAGGGCCAUCGCUCAACGGAUAAAAGGUACUCCGGGGAUAACAGGCUGAUACCGCCCAAGAGUUCAUAUCGACGGCGGUGUUUGGCACCUCGAUGUCGGCUCAUCACAUCCUGGGGCUGAAGUAGGUCCCAAGGGUAUGGCUGUUCGCCAUUUAAAGUGGUACGCGAGCUGGGUUUAGAACGUCGUGAGACAGUUCGGUCCCUAUCUGCCGUGGGCGCUGGAGAACUGAG
rnacentral:rRNA from 1 species